UACGAAGGAUCCAAGCGUUAUCCGGAUUUAUUGGGUUUAAAGGGUGCGUAGGCGGAUUAUUAAGUCAGUGGUGAAAGCUCCAUGCUUAACAUGGAAAUUGCCAUUGAUACUGAUGAUCUUGAGUACACUUGAAGUGGGCGGAAUAUGUCAUGUAGAGGUGAAAUUCGUAGAUAUCUGGAGGAACACCGGUGGCGAAGGCGGCGUUCUGGACUGCAACUGACACUGAAAAACGAAAGCCAGGGGAGCAAACGGG
rnacentral:rRNA from 1 species